rnacentral:rRNA from 1 species
GUGCCAGCAGCCGCGGUAAUACGAAGGGGGCUAGCGUUGCUCGGAAUUACUGGGCGUAAAGCGCACGUAGGCGGACUUUUAAGUCAGGGGUGAAAUCCCGGGGCUCAACCCCGGAACUGCCUUUGAAACUAGAAGUCUUGAGUUCGAGAGAGGUGAGUGGAAUUCCGAGUGUAGAGGUGAAAUUCGUAGAUAUUCGCAAGAACACCAGUGGCGAAGGCGGCUCACUGGCUCGAUACUGACGCUGAGGUGCGAAAGCGUGGGGAGCAAACAGGAUUAGAUACCCUAGUAGUCC